AGGCUGGUCAACGCCUCCACCUACCGGCCGAAACAGCCGCUCGCCGCCCUCCGGCUUCAUCCCGGGCAGCCGCGCGCUUCCGGGGCAGGCACCUGGAUCUGGGCCAGGGCUGGCCUCCAGGGAGGCGCAGGCCCACUGCUGAAGCAGCCACGACCAGCUCAGCGCCAGGGCAGGCUCUUCUACAGCGCGGGACACUGUGGGCAAGAGGCUGCCAGUGUUCGUGACCGCGAGCUCCAGGCCGGGCCCAGCUACUGCAGUAUCGGAGCUGGAAAGGCGAUCAAAGCACUGAGCCCCACCCGAGGGGGCCGUCAGGGAGGCCAGUGGCUGCCUGGGAACACAAAUAAAAAACCGGCCUCCUAUUUUGUGUACACAGUCCCUGUACAGGGUUUCUAAUCUGUGGGAAGUAAAACAUGCCACUUUCUAAUGGACAAAAACCUCAAGUUACCUUGGAACCUCAAGAGGAGAGGAUUUCACCCAACUCACAGGUGCUGCCUCUAGGCCCCCAGAACAGAAAGUGCUACCGGAAUAAAUCCACCUCUUCCACCCCAGCGCUGUGUUUGGUGCCCCAUGACGACAACCCUCUCUCAGCAGGAAGCAGCCAGAAAGAUUACAAUGCUUCAUCUCCCUACGAUUCUCGUGAUUAAUAAAUAAAUAUA